GAUGAACAGUAGAGUCAGAAUUACCAGACCUUUUUUUGGCUCGUACUCUCGGGUGAUUUGGAUCUGCCAUUUUGAUGUAUUUCACUUAUGUAGAGAAAGAGAAAGAAAUUCACUUCCUAAGCUUGCUUAAACUCACUUGCUUCACUGUUUAUUUGUUAAGAAUUCACCAUCAAUGAGAAUUUGAAUCAAAUGAGAAAAUGAAACAAAAUUUUCUGCCAAAAAAUCUUCGUUUUGCUCCAUCUGGUGGAUCGAUUCACAUUCAAAUUCGAAGAACAACAAGUAGCGACAUCGCUUGAGUGGAAAAGCUACUAAUAGGAUUCGUUGAUUCUCAUUAAUUUGUUUUCUUUUUUCAAUUUUAAUUGUUUCAAUUAUUUUCUUUUUCUUCGUUUUAAUUGUCGAUCAUCUACCAUCAAAUUUUAUUCUAAUUCUCUAAUAAACUAUCGCUUCUAAUUUUCCAUUUGUCUUAUGAGAGAUUAAAAGGUGAAAUAUGGCUGAUUCAUCCACCAAAGAGAAAAGGGUUAAAUUGGUUGAGGUGAAUACCUUUACUUUUAUGGUAAAAUCUGGUGGAAUAUUACAAGUACAUGUGUAACCUUGGGUUGUUUGUAGUUGAGAUCCAAUUGGAUACAAGUUUCCAUGAUAUAAACAGUGACCAGGAGUGAGACUUGUGUUAACAACUUCAUCGGGUGAUGUGCAAUAAUCAAGACAAUCAGAUUGAGAUUCAAA